rnacentral:rRNA from 1 species
CGCGUAGGCGGCAAAUUAAGUCAGCUGUGAAAUCUCCGAGCUUAACUCGGAACUGUCAGCUGAUACUGAUCUGCUAGAGUGCGGAAGGGGCAAUCGGAAUUCUUGGUGUAGCGGUGAAAUGCGUAGAUAUCAAGAGGAACACCUGAGGUGAAGACGGGUUGCUGGGCCGACACUGACGCUGAUGCGCGAAAGCCAGGGGAGCAAACG